rnacentral:rRNA from 1 species
UACGUAGGGGGCUAGCGUUGUCCGGAAUCAUUGGGCGUAAAGCGCACGUAGGCGGUCUGUUAUGUCGGAUGUGAAAGCCCUUGGCUCAACUGAGGAAGUGCAUCCGAAACUGGCAGGCUGGAGUACGUAAGAGGGUCGCGGAAUUCCCGGUGUAGAGGUGAAAAUUCGUAGAUAUCGGGAGGAACACCGGUGGCGAAGGCGGCGACCUGGGUCGAGACUGACGCUGAGGCGCGAAAGCGUGGGGAGCAAACAGG